AUCUCACUCAGGAUCAUAUACUCUAGAU
rnacentral:misc_RNA from 1 species